rnacentral:piRNA from 1 species
UAGCCUAUAUGCAGACCAUUUAGGCUGG